CCGGGGAGCGCUGAGUUCCGGCAGCGUGGGCGUCAGCCAGGAAGCUGUCUCCUCUGUCCUCCCCGCGCGGAAAUGGUUGUCGUGGUUACCGGUGCUAACCGUCUCCCACCUGUGAUUCCUUGUUGAGGGUCUGCAACCCGAGCUGCCCUCUGGAGACACUUCUAGCUCCUCUAAGAGGCGACUGCGCGAGUCUUCAACGUGGAGUAAUUGAAGCUUUCCGGGUAGCUCGAGGCUACUCCGUUUUCGCAUUGGUGUAGGAAUCCUCUGAUGCUGCCAAAUUCGGGUUUUACCCUUCACGCAACACGUGUGGGCAGUGCCAGUCCUUCACCCUUUGUGAUCCAGAAAAUUGAAAUAGAAUUGGAAACGAAAAGUGACCCAUAAUAAUUUAAAAUGUCUCGAAAAGUUAGCAAGGCAUCAAAAAAAAUGAACAUCUCUAGCUCCCUGGAAUCUGAAGAUAUUAGUUUAGAAACAACAAUUCCUACAGAUGAUAUUUCCUCAUCAGAAGAGCAGGAUGGCAAGAUCAAAAUCACCAGGCAGCUAAUUGAACGGAAAGAACUGCUUCAUAAUAUUCAGUUACUGAAAAUAGAGCUAUCACAGAAAAAUAUGAUGAUCGAUAAUUUGAAAGUUGAUUAUCUGACAAAGAUUGAAGAAUUGGAGGAGAAACUUAAUGAUGCACUUCACCAGAAGCAGCUACUAGCCCUGAGAUUAGACAACCAAUUGACUUUCCAACAAAAGGAUGCCAGAAAAUAUCAAGAACUAAUGAAACAAGAAAUGGAAACUAUUUUACUGAGACAGAAACAACUAGAAGAGACAAAUCUUCAGCUAAGAGAGAAAGCUGGAGAUAUUCGUCGAAACCUGCGUGACUUUGAGUUGACAGAAGAGCAAUAUAUGAAGCUAAAAAGUUUUCCUGAAGAUCAGCUUUCUAUUCCUGAAUAUGUAUCUAUUCGGUUCUAUGAACUGGUGAAUCCAUUAAGAAAGGAAAUCUCUGAACUACAAGUGAAGAAGAAUGACCUGGCAGAAGAAUUAAGUGCAAGCAAAAGUCAACUGAAACAACUGACUGAGACUUAUGAGGAAGAUCGCAGAAACUACUCUGAGCUUCAAAUUAGAUGUCAACGUUUGGCCUUAGAAUUAGCAGACACAAAACAGUUAAUUCAGCAAGGUGACUACCGUCAAGAGAACUAUGAUAAAGUUAAGAGUGAGCGUGAUGCAUUUGAACAGGAAGCAACUGACCUAAGGAGAAAAUAUGAAAUACUUGAAGCCUCUCACAUAACUCAAGCUAAAGAAAGAAAUGAAUUAUCAAAAGAGGUGGCCACCUUACGACAGACUGUGACUUUGCUGCAAAAGGAUAAAGAAUAUCUCAGCCGCCAAAACACGGAGCUCAGUGUGCGCCAUGCCCACGAGGAGGAUCGUCUGGAAAGACUUCAAGCUCAACUUGAAGAAACCAAAAAGGCUAGGGAAGAGAUGUAUGAAAAAUACGUAGCAUCCAGAGACCAUUAUAAAACAGAAUAUGAAAAUAAACUACGUGAUGAACUGGAACAGAUCAAAUUGAAAACUAAUCAAGAAAUCGAUCAACUCCGAAGUGCCUCUCGGGAAAUGUAUGAACGGGAAAACAGAAACCUCCGAGAAGCAAGGGAUAAUGCUGUGGCUGAAAAGGACCGUGCAGUGAUGGCUGAAAAGAAUGCUCUAGAAAAACAUGAUCAGCUCUUAGACAGGUACAGAGAACUACAACUUAGUACAGAAAGCAAAGUAACAGAAUUUCUCCAUCAAAGUAAAAUAAAAUCUUUUGAAAGUGAGCGUGCUCAACUUCUACAAGAGGAGACUGCAAGAAAUCUCACACAGUGUCAGUUGGAAUGUGAAAAAUACCAGAAAAAAUUGGAGGUUUUAACUAAAGAAUUUUAUAGUCUCCAAGCCUCUUCUGAAAAACGCAUUACCGAACUUCAAGCACAGAACUCUGAACAUAAGGCAAGGCUAGACACUUAUGAGAAACUGGAAAAAGAGCUUGAUGAAAUAAUAAUGCAAACUGCAGAAAUUGAAGAUGAAGUUGAAGCUGAAAGGGUUCUUUUUUCCUAUGGCUAUGGUGCUAAUGUUCCCACAACAGCCAAAAGACGACUAAAGCAAAGUGUCCACUUGGCAAGAAGAGUGCUUCAGUUACAAAAGCAAAACGCGUUGGUUUUAAAAGACCUGGACCAUCAAAAGAACCAAGUAACACAGCUUUCACAAGAGCUUGACAGGGCCAAUUCUCUGUUAAACCAGACGCAACAACCUUACAGGUAUCUCAUUGAAUCAGUGCGUCAGAGAGAUUCUAAGAUUGAUUCCCUGAAGAAGUGUAUUACCGAACUCGAAAAAGAUGUCAGCAAUUUAAAUAAAGAAAAGUCAGCUUUGCAGCAAAUGAAGGAUCAAAUGGCAUUAGAUUUGGAACAACUUCUAAAUCAUCGUGAGCUUGAACAUCUGGAAGUUGACAGUUCACGUACUGUUGAAGCCUGGCUUGGAGGAUUUUGAGCAUUACUUUACUAGCCUGUGAGAUGAGUGCAAUUGUGCAGUAGUUUGAGCAUUCUUUGGGAUUGCCUUUCUGUGGGAUUGGAAUGAAAACUGACCAGUCCUGUGGCCACUGCUGAGUUUUCCAAAUUUGCUGGCAUACUGAGUGCAGCACUUUCACGGCAUCAUCUUUUAGGAUUUGAAAUAGCUCAACUGGAAUUCCAUCACCUCCACUAGCUUUGUUUGCAGUGAUGCUUCCGAAGGCCCACUUGACUUCGCAUUCCAAGAUGUCUGGCUCUAGGAAUUGGCAGCAAUGAAACAGAUUAUCACUCACAUGCGUAGUAAGCGUUCCGAGGACAACUUACUUUUCACUAAAAUGGAAUCCAAAAACGUGACAGAAAAUCAGAAAUCAAAGACUUUGAAUGCACC